rnacentral:rRNA from 1 species
AACGAACGCUGGCGGCAUGCCUAACACAUGCAAGUCGAACGAGACCUUCGGGUCUAGUGGCGCACGGGUGCGUAACGCGUGGGAACCUGCCCUUAGGUUCGGAAUAACUCCCCGAAAGGGGUGCUAAUACCGGAUAAUGUCUUCGGACCAAAGAUUUAUCGCCUUUGGAUGGGCCCGCGUUGGAUUAGCUAGUUGGUAGGGUAAAAGCCGACCAAGGCGACGAUCCAUAGCUGGUCGGAGAGGAUGAUCAGCCACACUGGGACUGAGACACGGCCCAGACUCCUACGGGAGGCAGCAGUGGGGAAUAUUGGACAAUGGGCGAAAGCCUGAUCCAGCAAUGCCGCGUGAGUGAUGAAGGCCUUAGGGUUGUAAAGCUCUUUUACCCGGGAUGAUAAUGACAGUACCGGGAGAAUAAGCUCCGGCUAACUCCGU